rnacentral:rRNA from 1 species
CGGUGUUUAACUGGCGUGAUGUGGGACGUCCUACCGGUGGGCUUAGCCUCGCGAGGGGCGGCCCAACUAAUAUCCCGUCGCGGUGCUCUUUACUGAGUGUCGAGUCGGGCCGGUGCGUUUACUUUGAACAAAUUAGAGUGCUUAAAGCAGGCUAUCCUCGCCUGAAUACUGCGUGCAUGGAAUAAUGGAAUAGGACCUCGGUUCUAUUUUGUUGGUUUUCGGAACCCCGAGGUAAUGAUUAAUAGGGACAGAUGGGGGCAUUCGUAUUGCGACGUUAGAGGUGAAAUUCUUGGAUCGUCGCAAGACGGACAGAAGCGAAAGCAUUUGCCAAAAAUGUUUUCAUUAAUCAAGAACGAAAGUUAGAGGUUCGAAGGCGAUCAGAUACCGCCCUAGUUCUAACCAUAAACGAUGCCAGCUAGCGAUCCGCCGAAGUUCCUCCGAUGACUCGGCGGGCAGCUUCCGGGAAACCAAAGCUUUUGGGUUCCGGGGGAAGUAUGGUUGCAAAGCUGAAACUUAAAGGAAUUGACGGAAGGGCACCACCAGGAGUGGAGCCUGCGGCUUAAUUUGACUCAACACGGGAAACCUCACCAGGCCCAGACACCGGAAGGAUUGACAGAUUGAUAGCUCUUUCUUGAUUCGGUGGGUGGUGGUGCAUGGCCGUUCUUAGUCGGUGGAGCGAUUUGUCUGGUUAAUUCCGAUAACGAACGAGACUCUAGCCUGCUAAAUAGGCGUACCUUAUGGUAUCGCGAAGGCCCCCGGCUUCGGCCGGUGGGUUUUUACUACCAACGUACAAACAAAUCUUCUUAGAGGGACAGGCGG